AUUGAACGCUGGCGGAAUGCUUUACACAUGCAAGUCGAACGGUAGAGGGGGCAACCCCUCGAGAGUGGCGAACGGGUGAGUAAUAUAUCGGAACGUGCCCAGUCGUGGGGGAUAACGUAGCGAAAGUUACGCUAAUACCGCAUACGAACUAAGGAUGAAAGCGGGGGAUCGCCAGACCUCGCGCGAUUGGAGGGGCCGAUAUAAGAUUAGGUAGUUGGUGGGGUAAAGGCUCACCAAGCCAACGAUCUGUAGCUGGUCUGAGAGGACGACCAGCCACACUGGAACUGAGACACGGUCCAGACUCCUACGGGAGGCAGCAGUGGGGAAUUUUGGACAAUGGACGCAAGUCUGAUCCAGCCAUUCCGCGUGCAGGAUGAAGGCCCUCGGGUUGUAAACUGCUUUUGUACGGAACGAAAAGGUCUCUCUUAAUACGGGGGACUCAUGACGGUACCGUAAGAAUAAGCACCGGCUAACUACGUGCCAGCCGCCGCAGUAA
rnacentral:rRNA from 1 species